ACCCGAAGCCCGUGGCCCAACCCGCAAGGGAGGGAGCGGUCGAAGGUGGGGCCGGCGAUUGGGACGAAGUCGUAACAAGGUAGCCGUACCGGAAGGUGCGGCUGGAUCACCUCCUUUCUAAGGAGCA
rnacentral:rRNA from 1 species